GGCGCCAUGGUCUAACGGUUAGGACACCACUCUUUCAAGGUGGUAGCGGGGGUUCGACUCCCCCUGGCGCUACCA
rnacentral:tRNA from 2 species